AAAACAAAUACGGAGGGUGCAAGCGUUGUUCGGAAUUACUGGGCGUAAAGCGCGCGUAGGCGGUUUGUUAAGUCAGGUGUGAAAUACCACGGCUCAACCGUGGGGCUGCAUCUGAAACUGGCGGGCUUGAGGGCAGGAGAGGAGAGCGGAAUUCCUAGUGUAGCGGUGGAAUGCGUAGAUAUUAGGAGGAACACCAGUGGCGAAGGCGGCUCUCUGGACUGCUACUGACGCUGAGGCGCGAAAGCGUGGGGAGCAAACAGG
rnacentral:rRNA from 1 species